CGAUUUGGCUGUUACCCUGAAGUCUAAGCAGACCUUUCACAAAGGACUUUGUAAGUGGAGUUUUCAUCCUUUCCGGACUGUUAAAAGAGGGCUUUUUAGUCGUUUGUACAUGUGAGAACCCUGUUUAGAUUGGAAGAACAUCCCCAAAUGAAUUUGGAGAAAGGGAUGUGCUAAUUGAGGAUUCGGAGAUGGUUAGGGGUCAUUUUUUGUUAGCUUAGAGCUUUAAGUUAAGACAGAAAUUCUAUACAAAAGAGAAUCAUAGGAUUUUGUGGCCCUUGUUGCGCGCACAGUUUUGAUUUGUAUAAUGUAAAGAUGAUAUGCAUAAAAUUUAUAUUAGAGGGCGAGAAAGGAAGGAGGCAUUAUUAUUCAUUCAA